AGCCGCCGCAAAUCCAACCCUAAUUUAUUUGCACACUUUUUCUCAAUGUCUUCUUCAUCAGAGGCGGAGAGGGAGACGGGCAUCUUCUGGGACAUCGUGGAUUGCGAAAUUCCUAAUGGUCUCUCGCUUGAAUUGGUUUGUCAGAAUAUCAAAUCAGCUCUCGCGGAUGCUGGUUAUCGUGGUAAAGUGUCAAUCCAUGCUUAUUGUGACGCGGAAGAGAGCGAAGUGGCAGUGGCUUCAGCGUUUGAAUCCUCCGGCAUCAAGCUCGUACGCGCAGGAGAUGCAUAUUCGAGACUUUUUAGUAUGUUCAAGGACAUUAGUCUCUUUGCGAUAGACCACGAACCAUCGAAUUUGAUGGUAAUCUCACAAGACAUCUCAUCUGAAUCGCCGCUGUACGUCAAACUUCUUCUCAAGGUGAAAACGAAGAGGAAUCACAAUCUUCUCUUAGCACAGAUUGAUAAGGUAAAAGGAGAGUUACUUCUUAGCAGCAAUGUAAGUUCAAUAUGGUACUGGAAAGACUUAUCAAGUGGAGGAAGGCCUUGCGGGGAUGGCAAUAAUUGUAGUACUAGCGAAUUUGCCUAGGCUGACAUGGGCAUCUUCUGGGACAUUGUGGAUUGCGAAAUUCCUGAUGGUCUCUCUCUUGACUUGGUUUGUGAGAAUAUCAAAUCAGCUCUUGCGGGUGAUGGUUAUCGUGGUAAACUGUCAAUCCAUGCUUAUUGUGAGAUGAAAAAGAGCGAAGCCAUUGUGCCGUCAGAGUUUGAAUCCUCUGGAAUUGAGCUCGUACGCGCAGGGGCUUAUUCGCUUGGGAGGUUUCUUUUUCUGCCUUCAUUUGGUCAAACAGGUGCUGGUGGGAGGCUUUUGCCACCGCCUCUUAGUAUGUUACAGGUAAUUCACAGGAUCUAACUUUUCUUUUGAACAUUAGAUACCAAAGGGAUAUGUUUAAGAGUAUAAUUUAUCAGCCUAAACCAUAUCUCGCUGAAGCUCACAUUCGCACAUUAGGUUCUUGGUCUUAGCAUUGUUGAGGUACCUUUAGGAGUUUGUGUACGACUGCUUGAUGGGUGCUAGUAGUGAGUUUUCAAGCUGCUAGUGUGUUCUGUUUUUAACAAGAUGGUUGAGCAGGGGUUCUGUUCUAGUUUCAGUUGUUUAAACAGGUUAUUGUGGUGAGUCUACAAUGGUAUAUACUGUUAGUGAGAUUCACUACAAGUUGAAUGAAAGUGCUUCAGUUGCUGGGCAAGUAUGAGCUUAAAACAACAACCUUUGUAUUAUUGCUCUUCUUUACGCAGUUGUUGGGCAGGAGGGUGCAUCUGAAGUAGAUCUCAGCAUCCUUCCCAAGUACAGGUUUCAGAGGAUGAACAAUGAUGAAAAGGAAAGUGACGGUGUAGGACUGCUGUAUAUGUCUGAGUUCAUAUGUUUCUACCAAAGUCUCCAACAGCUACAACUAGUAGAACAAACGAUGCAACAAGAGGGUGCUUAGAUGGAUUCAAAUGGUUCAACUCAACCCAACCAAACAACAAUGUACUUCUCGUUGGUCUUUUGUCUAGUCUUGCCACUACCUCUUCUGCUUUCCAAAUUUUGUAAAAUAUAUUUAAUAUUCCGAAUAUUGUAAAUUUUUUUGUUUUAU